GGACAAUUAAUAAUCAGUUGGACGGAUGGUGACAGUUGGUCAGAUGGUGUAGAGGGGCGAAGCUCUGCGGAGUAGGUGCCCCCUUUUACAAAUGGAAAUUAAGGCAGCAGGAGAAUGACUUGCCACCUCACCUCAACCUAUUGUCAACUCCUUCCCUCUACAGAGCAUAAUUCAGCAGCACAACACAAGACAGCAGCAAUAUUAAUCUUCUAUAACCAUUAACUUGCCUGAGCCUUGUAGAAUCAACAUAGCUAGGAAAGAAUGAGAAAUAUCCCAUUUCACCUUAUCUAUCGACAAGAUUGCUACUCAGAAUGCGUUCAUUGCCCAUCAUGGCUUAUACUCAAAAGGUAGAACAGACAUAGUCUAAGAAUAUUUUCAGAUGGACCUUGCAAAGCAAAGAACUGGUGAUCUAAACAACAUUUGAUGUGGCAGUAAGUGAAAGCCAGCGCAGAAAGAGAAACCCGUUGAACUGAAUUCUUGAACUAUCUUUAUAUUGACUGUAUAUUUAGGCUUAACACUUCUAAAAAUUUUUUUUAAAUUGAAUUAUAAUGUUGCUGCUUUAUCUUGAUACAAUUUUUAUUGAUGAGUUGAUCAGUUGUUGGUAAUAUUAUCUGUUAAUGGUCAGCUUGAUUUAUUGUGCACCUCUAAAACAUGGUUUUGGAAAUGCCGUUAAGGAAAUGCACAACCAAAUAAUUACUUCACAGAGAGCUACAAUUCUAUCUCUAUCAGGAGUUUCGAGACCACUACCCACCCACCCCAAAGACCAUCCCCAGCAAUGACUCACUCCUGAUGCAGCUCCCAGAACUGUGCCCUCACAACAGCGAUCAGCCAACCAGAAGCAGCUGUUGGAAGAGCCAGAACCAGUGUUAAAGUCACAGUGCACGCCUGACAGAGUGCAUAAGAAAGGCCGAACUGCUCGCCACACUACAGGCGGAUUGAUUCAGAGGAUCCUAUAGGGAACAAGAGUGGGGCAAGCCCAAGCAGAAACAUAGAUUGGGGAGAAGAGGUAUUUAAUCAGGGGAAGAGGAAGGCCAAGGAUGAAAAGAAGUGCAUAGGAUGGCUGGCUCCCAACCCAGGGGAGCAGCCAAAGGACAGAUGCCGUGAUGGAGAAGGAGGAGGAGGAAAAGGGUGACAAGAGAUCCCCUCCCCUCUAUUGCCGGGGCCUAAGAGAAUGCCAGGUGGGAAUAAGGGAAGACAAGAAAGGGUCGGGUCCCUCACCUCACAGGCUCCAACUUUCUCCAACA